UACACGUGUGUCAAUCGAGGAGUGCGGAGUGCUCUUUAUUUACAGCAUAAUUAUAUAUAAGUAGUAACUAUUAUAUUCUAAAAGUUGUAUGAUAAGAAUUCAAUUAACCAUAUACGUGCUAUAAUUAUUUGUGCUAUGAAUAGUAGCUGGUGAUGUAGGAUUCAUUUUCCGAUUUACAAGAGAGAUUUACAAAAGAGAGGAAAUAUCAAUUAAUUUUUUUACGUUCUAUAAUAGAUUUGUCCUUGGACAUUAAAAAUAUCAUCAAGGGCAAUGAAUAUGUCUUAACAUAUGGGAUCAAUUGUUGUAUCAAAUUCAAAAAACCACCAUUU